rnacentral:lncRNA from 1 species
GUCAGCCAUAUGCCUGUGCUCUCAAGUGCCAAGUUUGUGGGGAUGCAUGCAGGGGAUUCUGGACCUGAUUGUUUCCUCUGAACCAGGAUGUGGUCUGGUUGGCAGGGCAACUGGUCUUCACUUGGUGGCCUUCAGUGGGUGUCCUCAUUGGUUGCCUUCAGAUAGUGCCCUCAGUUGGUACCAUCAGUUGGCGCUCUUCAGGUGGUGGUCCUCAGUUGGUGGUCUUCAGUUGUAGGGCAAUGGUGGAAGGAGGAUGAAACUGUGCUUUCUCCUCCCCCAGUCACAGCUCUCAGGCUUGCUGCCUCCGGGCCCUUCUAAAAUAAACCAGACAGGUUGGCAGGUUUUUCUUAACAGACAAGUCAGCUCAGGGUACAGGGGUGACACAGGGUGCAGGCUGCUAGUGCAGUGCCACCCCAUGGCCCAGGGGUGCCCGUGCCAGCCAUGCCUUUGCCAGGAAGAGGCGAUAGGUGUUGAGCUCUGCAGACUUGGGGACAAGCGAACACCCAAGCUGCCUGAGAAGUGCAGGGGUGCCCCAUGGGGACCACACUGAACUGUCGCAUGUGCACCAAAGCCAGCCCCAGUCAGGGCCGGCACAAGGUUUCUGCAGAGCCAGCCUGUGGCUCUGACGUCUACAAGUGUGCAUACAACGAAGGCGCAGGCUGCGAUAUACAGGAGCAGAGGCACCCAGAACACGCUGCCCCUGCUGCCAGUUGCAAGUGGGGUCUGCUCAGAAUGCGGAGGGUGAAGCUGUCCUGCAGCUUUGAGAUCCACGAGGUGGUGGUGGCCCUAGCGCCAGACUCCACUGCUAUGGAACCUGCCCAGUUGAAUUUGGGAGCCAGUGAGGGACCUGACAGCAGCACCAGGAGACGCCCAAAGGUAGGGAGGUGACAGAUACUGCUGAAGUUUAGGAACUCCUCUAGCCAUUGCUGGCCCAAGAAUCCUGCAGAGGCAUCCAGAGUCUCAGUUUUCUCAUCUGUAAACGAUGUGCUUGUUAUGAGGCUUCGGUAAGGUAAGUGUGUAAAAACCAUGGCAAAAUGCUUGUAACUUAAAAGAGAGGAUUUCUAUGAGGCUUCUAUAAAGUAAGUGUAUAAAAAUCUGGACACAAUACCUAUGAUUUUUUCAGUGUUCAGUAUAUGGAGAAGGAGAUUAUAUUCUCUCAUCUAAUUUUCAGAGCCAGUUUAUAAAAAUGGUGAUACUCAUAUUUCUUAGACGAUGAAAUCAAUGAUCAGAAAGAAUAAAUAGAUCAUCAAAGUCACACAGCAGUUCACAAUGCGUUCCUUGUGUAAUUUCUAGUUAAAAGUAGCAAUGAUGAUCACAUUGAAAAUUUUGUAUUAUGUGGUAGUUUUCACUUACAUAAUCCUUUUGGUGUUUUGAAACCAUAUAUUCUAAGUUGCUCUACCAAAGCGAUCAUUAGAAAAAUGUGAUGUAGUUAGUGUGUAAAUUUUAGAAAAUUUCUUCCGUUAGUCUUGUUAAUUUGAUUGCAAAUAUGUGUUAUUUUCAAAAACGUAAAUGGAAUAUAUAUUGAUUGGACUUGUAUGUGUAUAUAUGAAAUAUGACUGGACAUUAUAGAGUAGGCUUAGUUCAUGGCAAUGUUUUUUUCUGAAAGCACCUGAAGAAAUCACUCUUAUUUCCAGUUUGUUAGUGUUUCAGAGAUUAUGGGGGAAAGGGGGUUCUAUGAAUGUCAGACACUGCGUGAGGCACAUUUGGUUUCAGUAAUUUUAGCAUCAUUCAUUGUAAAGUGAUGAUCCCUCGGAACUUCUUCACAAUGAGAAACCUGAAAGGUCCCAGCAGCCAGCAAUGAAUGAAAGGUGGGGUGGGGCCGCUGGCAGGGCGAGGCCUUGUGAGCCAUGUGCCUGUGCUCUCAAGUCCGAAGUUUGUGGGGAUGUAUGCAGGAGAUUCUGGCCCUGAUUGUUUCCCCAGAACCAGGAUGCGUUCUGGUUGGCAGGACAACUGGCCUUCACUUGGUGGCCUUCAGUGGGUGUUCUCAUUGGUUGCCUUCGUUUAGUGCCCUCAGUUGUUUCUCUUCAGUUGGCGGUCCUCAGUUGGUGGUCUUCGGUUGUUGGGCAGUGGUGGGAGGAGGAUGAAUCCAUUUGUGCUCUCUCCUCCCCCAGUCACAGCUCUCAGGCUUGUUGCCUCCAGGCCCUUCUAAAAUAAACUAGACAGGUGGCAGGAUUUUUUUAGCAGACAAGUCAGCUCAGGGUACAGGGGUGAAGCGGGUUGCGGGAUGCUAGUGCAGUGUCGCCUCAUGGCCCAGGGCUGCCCGUGCCAGCCAUGCCUUUGUCAGGAAGAGGCGAUAGGUGUUGAGCUCUGCAGUCGUGGGGGCCAGGGAAGGCCCAAGCUGCCUGAGAAGAGCAGGGGUGCCCCAUGGGGCCCACACUGAACUGUCGCAUGUGCACCAAAGCCAGCCCCAGUCAGGGCUGGCAAAGGGGUUCUGCAGAGCCAGCCUGUGGCUCUGACAUCUACGAGUGUGCAGACAGCGAAGGCGCAAGCUGCGAUAUACAGGACCAGAAGCACCCGGAACACGCUUUCCCCCACUGCGAGCCGCAAUUGGGCUAGCUCAGGGUGCGGUGGGUGAAGCUUUCCUGCAGCUCUGAGAUCCACGAAGUGGAGGUGGUAGUAGCGCAGGACCCCACUGCUUUGGAGGCUGCCCAAUCGAAUUUGGGAGCCAGUGAGUGUCCUGACAGCGGCACCAGAAGACCCCGAAAGCAUGCAGACUGUGAAGAUGCAGGCCGCGAUAUACGGGAGCAGAGGUGCCCAGAACAUGCUGUCCCCCAAUGCCAGCCACAAGUGGGGCUAUCUGAGGGUGUGAUGGGUGAAGCUGUCCUGCAGCUCUGAGAUCCACGAGGCAGAGGCAGCAGUAGCGCUGGACUCCACUGCUUUGGAGGCUGCCCAGUCGAAUUUGGGAGCCAGCAAGAGUCCUGACAGCAGCACAUUGGCCACCAGAAGACACCCAAAGGGAGAGGAGCGGAAGACCUUCUGGUGUGGGCUGGGCAGCAAUUCACUUGAAGGAGAAACAGCCCCGGUGUGGAGAGGCGGCCAUCCUUGGCGGGAUCCUUUCUAAGGAGCCGAGAAAUCAACGUAGAGCUUCCUCUGUCUGAUUCUCUAACAACUGCAGACCUUCCAUGAGUCAAGCUUUGUGUCAAAAGGACAAAUAAAAAGGACCUAUAAAAGGCAUCACCAAGCCCAAUGGACAGAUGCCCCAGGCUGCACAUUCUGUCAGUGCUGUUCUGGAAAAGGCCCAAACACAUGCUGAAACAUCGAAGGAUAAGAAGCCAGCCCUCGGGAACCGGCAGGAGCACUCUGGGCCCCGCACGGCCCCAAGUCCAGCCUGCCCCGCCUCCUCUGGUGCAGAGGUCCAGGGAUACCAGCAGCAGCCCCGCCACGCCCCUCCAAGGCCAAGAACACAGGCGGCAGGGGCUUCCCCUCCCUGCCAGACUACUUCCUGCCGCCACAGCCACCACCCUUGGACGACCCAGAGCUCCCGCCGCCCCUGGACUUCGUGCUCCCUCCCCCCGCGGUCGCCAAGAGGCCUCCUAAUGCCCCACCCCCGCAAGAGACACGAAGCAUCAAUGUUCAGAAGCAGCAAAUAAAUAAAAUAAAUGAAUAAAAGUUAAACGUUCAAAAAAAAAAAAAAAAAAAAAAAAAAAAAA